rnacentral:rRNA from 1 species
AUCGAACGCUGGCGGCAGGCCUAACACAUGCAAGUCGAACGAGUGGCGGACGGGUGAGUAAUUUCUUGGCAACUGCCCGAUGGAGGGGGGUAACUACUGGAAACCGUGGCUAAUACCGCUUACCAUGCUAUCUGCUCUAAUGGGAUGAGCUAGUCGGUGGGGUAACGGCUCCCCUAGGCGACGAUCCCUAGCUGGUCUGAGAGGAUGACCGGCCACACUGGAACUGAGACACGGUCCAGACUCCUACGGGAGGCAGCAGUGGGGAAUAUUGGACAAUGGGCGAAAGCCUGAUGCAGCCAUGCCGCGUGUAUGAAGAAGGCCUUCGGGUUGUAAAGUACUGUCAGCGGGGAGGCGGUACUCGCAGAAGAAGCAACGGCUAACUCCGUGCCAGCAGCCGCGGUAAUAC